rnacentral:rRNA from 1 species
UACGUAGGUGGCAAGCGUUGUUCGGAAUUAUUGGGCGUAAAGGGCGCGUAGGCGGCUUGUUAAGUCGGCUGUGAAAGCCCGGGGCUCAACCCCGGAGGGUCAGCCGAUACUGGCAGGCUAGAGUACGGAAGAGGUAGCUGGAAUUCCCGGUGUAGCGGUGAAAUGCGUAGAUAUCAGGAAGAACACCCGUGGCGAAGGCGGCUCUCUGGGACGGUACUGACGCUGAGACGCGAAAGCGUGGGGAGCGAACAGG